rnacentral:rRNA from 1 species
GAUCUAGCUUGCUAGAUGCUGACGAGUGGCGCACGGGUGCGUAACGCGUAUACAAUCUACCUUUAACUGAGGGAUAGCCCAGAGAAAUUUGGAUUAAUACCUCAUAGUAUUAUAAUUAGGCAUCUUUUUAUAAUUAAAACUUCGGUGGUUAAAGAUGAGUAUGCGUACUAUUAGCUAGUUGGUAAGGUAAAAGCUUACCAAGGCAACGAUAGUUAGGGGGCCUGAAAGGGUGAUCCCCCACACUGGUACUGAGACACGGACCAGACUCCUACGGGAGGCAGCAGUGAGGAAUAUUGCACAAUGGAGGAAACUCUGAUGCAGCCAUGCCGCGUGCAGGAAGAAUGCCCUAUGGGUUGUAAACUGCUUUUAUACAAGAAGAAACCUCGGUACGUGUACCGACUUGACGGUAUUGUAUGAAUAAGCACCGGCUAACUCCGUGCCAGCAGCCGCGGUAAUACGGAGGGUGCAAGCGUUAUCCGGAUUUAUUAGGUUUAAAGG